rnacentral:tRNA from 1 species
GUUCGUGUGGCGAAACGGAAAACGCAGAAGGCUCAAAUCUUCUCCGGCGACGGUUGCGGGUUCGAGUCCCGCCGCGAACU